rnacentral:misc_RNA from 1 species
AACGCACGAGACCUGCGGACCUGCGGAAGGAUCAUUAUCGAGUUUACAACUCCCAAACCAUUGUGAAUCUUACCUUUUCGUUGCUUCGGCGGGAUCGCCCCGGGCGCUUCGGUGCCCCGGACUCAGGCGCCCGCCGGGGGACCUAAACUCUUGUAUUAUAGUGGAUUUCUGAGUGGAUUACACAAAUAAUCAAAACUUUCAGCAACGGAUCUCU